rnacentral:sRNA from 1 species
CUAGAUCUAAAGAGUCUAAAUCUAGCUAUUCUCUGACAUUUUUAGUGACAAUAAUUUUCAUAAUGCUGGUUAGAGAUUUCAAACGUGAAUUCUAUGAUGUCGUACAACACCAGAGAGUGCUGGUUCUCGUUGCUUUUGAUGUCGAUUCACUUUGUGGAUGCAAAAUAUUACAGUAUUUAUUCCAGUGUGAUCAAGUUUUAUAUACAAUUGUCCCUGUGACAGACUUACAAGAACUGGAAAAAGCUUUCCUUGAAAAUGCUGA